rnacentral:lncRNA from 1 species
UGUUUUAGCAGCAUACAUCUUAAAGUGUAUUUAAACAUUAUUUAGUUAUCUAGCAAAGGUUUGCGGUAGUUGUUAAAUUACACCCACUUAUUUUUUAGAAUGAGUGUUUCAACAACAUGCACCUAAAAUAUAUUUAACCACUUUUUAGUUAUAUCUUUGCUAAAAUACUUCUUAUAAAAACCAAGCGGGUGUAUCAUAGCAAAUCC